AAAACAUAAAGAAAUUUGCUGCUAACAAAUUUAGGGUUGAAUACCGUGUUUUU
rnacentral:tRNA from 1 species